CAAGCAUGCUCCAACAUCUGAUCCUAUCAAAACAAGAGGUGGAUCCAAGCCCAAGUGUUGACAGUACACGUUUUUCAAAUCGUCAGUGGACAGACCAAAAACUGCACAAAGGAACGACAAGUGCAAACGGUUGGUGGUUGCAACCAAAAUGGGAGACACUGGAUCUUGAUUGGACAAGGGUCGGUGGCCAUCUUGGUUGUCAAGAAGGACACAACUGGUGACCUGAAUGGGGGAGACAAAACAUCAAUCAGUGCUAGGUGCCAGAGAGAGCCAACUUGACCUACAAAUAGGAGAAGUGAGGCCUUGUGCAAGGGAAAGGCAGCUGAAGAAUGGGGCACAUGCAGCUGAUGAUGAUGAGUCUUCCCACAGGGGGAAUAGCAAGACCAAGUCAGAAUGAUCACACUGGCAACCUGUUGCUCAGGGAUUACCACUGAAGACAGAUCAGCUUGUACAAGGAACAGAGUGGCUUGCCAGCUGAAACCCAUUGCUAGUUGGUUUGAUGAAUAAGGCCCAAGUGUUAGAUCUUCCCAGCCACAGACCUGUCUAACAUGGGAUGGCCAGUUGAGGUACUGAGGAGACUGCUCAUAAAAGAACAUACACAAAAACUAAGUCUUUCUGGUAUUUCGGCUGCCAGUCACAUUGCUUGAAGUAGCUGAUCCAAAAAAAAGUGAAGCGCAAUGAAUUUAUGACAACGGCGGCACAUUAAUGUUUGUACAAGAAGUCUCCCUUCAAUGAGAAACCUGUCAGACUCACAGUGACACAAAGAACUGCAAAUCCCCGUAAUAGGCAGAAACCAAUGUUCCAUGAAAUGUAGUUUUUAAAGAGACCUUGGGAUUCAUGAGGGUGAAUACAAUCAGGAAUAAAAAAUUGCUUUUGUAAAGUGUGGAACAAAGUUUAUCUACCACAAAUAAGUUAUUGCCAUGCCAUGAAUAAAAGUUCAAAGCAGAACCUCCAUGAUUCAUCUCAAUAAGAAAGUACUGGCACAUUUUAGUGUUACUCCAGUUUGAAGGUCGAUACAACCUUGGACUGUAUUCUGGGAAAUAAAUUUUCUGCUUAUGCACUGAAAAGUGUUUGUGAUUACAUAUGUAUAUGCCUUAAAUACAAUCGCAAACUUUAUGCAAAUGUGAAAAUGCCAGAACAAAAUCCCUUAACAAAAAUACGCCUUUCUCUUGAAAAAAAAUCCACAAUGAUACAUAGCCUAAGUAGCAAAGUGCAGAAGUAAAUUUUAAAAGAUACAACAAAACAAGUUGUUAUCAUUUUCACAAAGGGAUGGAUGAGGUGCCUCAAAGUUAGCCAAAAUAGUAAUGAAAUCAUUGACAAGCUAUGUUCUCCAAGAUCUUGGAGGGGGAUACUGUAAUACUGUCCAGCCACUCAUUUUUUUUUUUUGGCGGGGGGUAAAUGCUUUCAAGAAAACAAAACAAUCUCCUUCUCAAUUACAGGAAUGACACAAAUCUGAGUGAUGGGUUUGAGCUGUCAAACUGAUUCUUAAUACUCAUUCCAUAACUCAUAUCAGCAAUCUUCAUCAGGCACUCUCUUGGUCACCUUUUCCAUCUCUCUGGCAAUGUUAUAGAAUAUGUGAUGUGUAUAAAUGUCUCAAUAACAUGAAUCCAGCCUAUCUUAGUACUCUUAGCAAUGCGAUCUGAUUCUGUUAAUACUCGAUCCAAGUCUAAUGGGUUACCUCACCUCCUUACUGUUCCCAGGACAAAUGCCGCUAAACAUAUGUUUGAAUAUUUUGGGACCCUGAGAUGGAACAUGUUAACUUCAUCUCAGCGAUAAGCCAAAUCUUUACAUUUGAAGCAAGAUAUGGGACGGAGAGA
rnacentral:lncRNA from 1 species